CACAUGGUGUGUCGUUGAACAAAACCGUACGUGUGAAAAAUUAUGAGCAUAAAAGGAAAACGGCUCUUGGUUUUGGCAUAACACAUUUUCGUGCGAAUAUUUUACUUUACGUGUUUCAUUUCACUCAACAAAAACAAUCCAAAAUCGAAAAUGGGCGCUGAAAAGGUAUCCAUGAAUAUCGUUGUCGUUGGACAAGUACAAUCUACUAAGGCCAUCAACACCACCGUCAAAGUCAUCGCAGCCACCAGCCAAUUAAUGAACUAUUGACCAUGUAAUCCAUUGAAAAUUUAAAUAUUCCAUAGUCCAAACAAUGUAUAUUUUACUAUUUGUAAUUAAUAUGUAUUGAUAAAAAUA